UACGUAGGGUGCGAGCGUUAAUCGGAAUUACUGGGCGUAAAGCGUGCGUAGACGGCCUCGCAUGUCGAGUGUGAAAUCCCCGGGCUUAACUUGGGAAUUGCGCUUGAAACUACGGGGCUCGAGUGUGGCAGAGGGAGGUGGAAUUCCACGUGUAGCGGUGAAAUGCGUAGAGAUGUGGAGGAACACCAAUGGCGAAGGCAGCCUCCUGGGCCAACACUGACGCUCAUGCACGAAAGCGUGGGGAGCAAACAGG
rnacentral:rRNA from 1 species